AUUGAACGCUGGCGGCAGGCCUAACACAUGCAAGUCGAGCGAGCGGCGGACGGGUGAGUAAUGUAUGGGGACUGCCCGAUAGAGGGGGAUAACUACUGGAAACGGUAUCUAAUACCGCAUACUAUCCGCUAACCCAUUGGGGAUUAGCUAGUAGGUGAGGUAAUGGCUCACCUAGGCGACGAGCCCUAGCUGGUCUGAGAGGAUGAUCAGCCACACUGGGACUGAGAAACGGCCCAGACUCCUAAGGAGGCAGCAGUGGGGAAUAUUGCACAAUGGGCGAAAGUCUGAUGGAGCCAUGCCGCGUGGAUGAAGAAGGCCCUAGGGGUGUAAAGUACUUUUAGUAGGGAGGCGUUACCGACAGAAGAAGCACCGGCUAACUCCGUGCCAGCAGCCGCGGUAAUUC
rnacentral:rRNA from 1 species